UACAGAGGUCCCAAGCGUUGUUCGGAUUCACUGGGCGUAAAGGGUGCGUAGGUGGGCUAGUAAGUCCGUGGUGAAAUCUCCAAGCUUAACUUGGAAACUGCCGUGGAUACUAUUAGUCUUGAAUAUUGUGGAGGUAAGCGGAAUAUGUCAUGUAGCGGUGAAAUGCUUAGAUAUGACAUAGAACACCGAUAGCGAAGGCAGCUUGCUACAUAAUUAUUGACACUGAGGCACGAAAGCGUGGGGAUCAAACAGG
rnacentral:rRNA from 1 species